rnacentral:rRNA from 1 species
AGAGGAACCUGUUCUAUAAUCGAUAAUCCACGAUGGACCUCACUUAAAUUUGUAAUCAGUUUAUAUACCGUCGUUAUCAGAAGAUUUUAAAAGAAAUUUAAUUUUCAAUAAUUUUAGGAAAAAUUUAUAUCAGAUCAAGGUGUAGCUUAUAUUUAAGAAGAAAUGGGUUACAAUUAAUUUAUUAUUGGAUUUAUUUAUGAAAAAAAUAAUGAAAAUGGAUUUGAUAGUAAAAAUUUAAAGAAUAAAAUUUUGAUUUUAGCUCUAAAAUAUGCAC